rnacentral:tRNA from 1 species
GGCGUUGUGGUGUAAUUGGCUAACACAUCUCCUUUGCAAGGAGAAGUUCAGGGUUCAAGUCCCUCAUUGUCCA